rnacentral:rRNA from 1 species
AUUGAACGCUGGCGGCAGGCCUAACACAUGCAAGUCGAACGAGUGGCGGACGGGUGAGUAAUGUCUGGGAAACUGCGCGAGGGAGGGGGAUAACUACUGGAAACGGUAGCUAAUACCGCAUACCAUCGGAUGUGCCCAGAUGGGAUUAGCUAGUAGGUGGGGUAACGGCUCACCUAGGCGACGAUCCCUAGCUGGUCUGAGAGGAUGACCAGCCACACUGGAACUGAGACACGGUCCAGACUCCUACGGGAGGCAUCAGUGGGGAAUAUUGCACAAUGGGCGCAAGCCUGAUGCAGCCAUGCCGCGUGUAUGACGAAGGCCUUUGGGUUGUAAAGGACUGUUGUCGAGAAGGCGGUACGCGCAGAAGAAGCACCGGCUAACUUCGUGCCAGCAGCCGCGGUAAUAC